ACGAAGAGCGAACGGGCAGCUGCGUGCUGGACGAGGUAGCCUAGCCGCGGCUAGCUGCUGUUAGCACGCUGAAAACAUGGCAAACCGUGCCGCUUGCAUCUGGCGUGGAGUGGCUUUUAAAAGACAUUUGUCUGAGCCGGGAUGGAACAGGGGCAACCUCGCUUUACAACCAAAUAGUUAGCGCUGUAAAAGUCGGCUUUUUGGGGUAUUACGAAAUGUAAUGGUACACGUUAGCCUUAGCUACGCCAACAACAAACAUCAAUUGAAUUAAUAAAGAUACUUUUUUUAAUCUCUUCUCUACAGUAUUGGGUGCGUCAAAUAAUGGGGAGCGUGAUUAACAGUCUACAUUUUUUACUUGAAAGUUGCGAUUCAAGUGGAGGAUACCAUGCUAGCUAGCUAGCUGAGCGCGCGGCCUAAGCUUGCCCAUGUGCUGCCGCUUUGUUCUGGGGGCACUUUAACUCACACACCACUGCACUCCAAGCUGGCAGCUAAUUCGCCGCAUUUGCUGUUUUUCGACUUUUCAAACUAUUACGCCGUCGCCCUCGCAUUUAACUCACUUCUACCACGUCAUUAUCAGUUUGAACUAGUUGCGAAAGCGACCCGCCGAAAGCUCGGGACAGCUUUUCAAAUCUCCCUCAUUCCCUCAAUGGUGGAAGCAGAGGGGGCUGCCAUGCGCCUCAUGUUACACUGUUUUCGUCGCCAAAUCAUCAUUUGCGCCAAAGCGCUUGCUUUUUUCCCCCCCAACCACCACGGCGGUAACGUGCACGCAGUAUACGCCGGGAUAACAUUUGCCAUAUCCACGCGAAGACUUGAAAAGAGCCCAAAGCAGACUUCCUUGCUGGUAAACAUGCGCUCGACAGACACUCACCAGCCGAAAUCCACCAUCUUCGCUACUUGCACUCUGCCGCCGCCGACAAAAGCGGAAUCAACGCGCAACAAUUCAGCAAACUUUUGGGCCCGCGGCGGAAAAAAAAAUAAAAAAAUAAAAAAAAAACAAGUGGGCGACGUGCCUGGCGCUGAUCGGGAGCGAACGUGUGGCCCCGUUGCGCCGCUUGGACGCGAUUAAAGUGGCGCGAAGGCGACCACUUGCUAAGCAUGUGGCUGAAUGAAGGGCGGCUCCCACUGAACGUAAAUAUGGAGCUACAACCCCCAACUCGCCCCGCAUUUGCAUACACAAACCACGCGACUUCCGACUGCACCCCUGCGAGCCAACGGCGCCGCAUCUCAGACGCCUCUGAGCGAGCAGCACAAGAGAAAAGUUUUGGUUGUGUCGGGGAAAAUCUGGUCGGGGACUCCUGAAGUGUUGAUCGAGGAUCUGAGGAACCUGCAACAAAAACAAUUGAACACAUCAAGGAGGAUAGGACAGAAACAUCAGUUCUCAACAACAUGAGAGUUCAAACGGACUGUCUGGACUGAAAAGCUGCAGAUGACAUUUUGGUGAAUGAAGUUUUCUGAAUCUACAGUUCGCGGGCGUGCUGGAGCCUAUCCCAACUAUCUUCGGGCGAGAGGCGGGGUACACCCAGAACCGGUCGCCAGCCAAUUGCAGGGCACAGAUAAACAAACAACCAUUCGCAGUCACAUUCACACCUACGGGCAAUUUAGAGUCUUCAAUUAACCUACGUUGCAUGUUUUUGGGAUGUGGGAGGAAACCGGAGUACCCGGAGAAAACCCACGCAGGCACG